AUUGAACGCUGGCGGCAGGCCUAACACAUGCAAGUCGAGCGGAUGAAGGGAGCUUGCUCCUGGAUUCAGCGGCGGACGGGUGAGUAAUGCCUAUGAAUCUGCCUGGUAGUGGGGUAUAACGUCCGGAAACGGGCGCUAAUACCGCAUACGUCCUGAGGGAGAAAGUGGGGGAUCUUCGGACCGCUCGCUAUCAGAUGAGCCUAGGUCGGAUUAGCUAGUUGGUGGGGUAAAGGCCUACCAAGGCGACGAUCCGUAACUGGUCUGAGAGGAUGAUCAGUCACCCUGGAACGGAGACACGGUCCAGACUCCUACGGGACGCAGCAGUGGGGAAUAUUGGACAAUGGGCGAAAGCCUGAUCCAGCCAUGCCGCGUGUGUGAAGAAGGUCUUCGGAUUGUAAAGCACUUUAAGUUGGGAGGAAGGGCAGUAAGUUAAUACCUUGCUGUUUUGACGUUACCAACAGAAUAAGCACCGGCUAACUUCGUG
rnacentral:rRNA from 1 species